CCUACGGGUGGCAGCAGUGAGGAAUAUUGGUCAAUGGACGCGAGCCUGAACCAGCCAAGUAGCGUGAAGGAUGACUGCCCUAUGGGUUGUAAACUUCUUUUAUAUGGGAAUAAAGUGAUCCACGUGUGUCUUUUUGUAUGUACUUUAUGAAUAAGGAUCGGCUAACUCCGUGCCAGCAGCCGCGGUAAUACGGAGGAUCCGAGCGUUAUCCGGAUUUAUUGGGUUUAAAGGGAGCGUAGGUGGAUUGUUAAGUCAGUUGUGAAAGUUUGCGGCUCAACCGUAAAAUUGCAUUUGAGACUGGCAGUCUUGAGUACAGUAGAGGUGGGCGGAAUUCGUGGUGUAGCGGUGAAAUGCUUAGAUAUCACGAAGAACUCCGAUUGCGAAGGCAGCUCACUGGACUGCCACUGACACUGAGGCUCGAAAGUGUGGGUAUCAAACAGGAUUAGAUACCCCAGUAGUC
rnacentral:rRNA from 1 species